CGAGCCGCUGUCUCUCUCGCCUUGGCUUCCCAAGGAGGCGUGUACCUUCUGAAUCCAGGGCACAGGCAGUGCCUCCCGGGCUGAGAAGCCAUUUAAAUCCAGAGGGAGAAAGAAAGAUGUCAAACUCAGCCCGGGAACAAGAACCCCCAUUAUUAGUCAGGCCUACACCCACUGCUUAGACCUUCCUGCCACAAUCAGCCUUGUAUGGUGGUGCUCGGGAAACUGGGCCCUCGCUGGGCAGACAGAUCCCAUGAGCUUUAUUAAGGACUCUUGCUUAAAUUUAUUCCCACAGAGAACGGCUUCUUUGGGUCCCCAAAGGCAGACGGAAUGGCUGUUUCACGCUCAGCCUUACCUUGGCAGUCCCCCACCACCACCACCUCCACUGUAUCUGUGGCCCUGCUCCCCAGUAAAAUAUUAACUAGCGUUUCAGAACCGCUUAUAAUUCCACCCAUCUCAACAGUAUUAGGAGGUCUCUGCCUGUUUCCUCUGUCAAUCUGCCUUUGUCGUGGGUCUGUAGCCUGAGGAAGAAAAAGCAGAUCCAAAAAAGGAUCUUAAAACAUUCGGUGCUCGCUUGCUUCUUCUUUUUUUUCUUUUUUAAGACAAGGUGCUUAAUGUACAAGGUUUUUUUUAAAAAAAAAAAGAAAGAAAGAAAGAAACAGCAAGCUGGAACAACAGAAACUAAACACCGUUCUUCAGAGGCUGGAGAAAUCUUCCAGAGGUGACGCAGCCAUAUGCCAGGAGUGCCACAGAGAAAGCAGUGGAGCUGAGGGCCUGCUCGCCCUGCCCCCGCUCCCGCCCCCAUGGACAACAGAUGCCCACCGCGUGUACAUCAAUUCUUCCUGGCCGGGAAUCUCCUAUCAAGACAGGAACAAGCCAGGAAUCCACCCCAGCACACUUGUGGGCAGGGGCCCCCCCACCGCCGUCCCUGAAGGAACACUAUCUGUGUCCGUGGGUGCUGCUUUGCGGAGGGGAGACAAGCAGGACGACGAGUUUGUGGCGGAUCUCCCAAACAGCUCACUUCCCAAGCGGACGAGGAAAUAAAAUACAGCGCUGGUUCGCGUGGUGGAUUUUAACCCCGGAUUAAAACUGGUUGCAUAAGCAGCUGCAGCAUCC